GACGAACGCUGGCGGCGUGCUUAACACAUGCCAGUCGAACGGAAAGGCCCUGCUUUUGUGGGGUGCUCGAGUGGCGAACGGGUGAGUAACACGUGAGUAACCUGCCCUUGACUUUGGGAUAACUUCAGGAAACUGGGGCUAAUACCGGAUAGGAGCUCCUGCUGCAUGGUGGGGGUUGGAAAGUUUCGGCGGUUGGGGAUGGACUCGCGGCUUAUCAGCUUGUUGGUGGGGUAGUGGCUUACCAAGGCUUUGACGGGUAGCCGGCCUGAGAGGGUGACCGGCCGCAUUGGGACUGAGAUACGGCCCAGACUCCUACGGGAGGCAGCAGUGGGGAAUAUUGCACAAUGGGCGGAAGCCUGAUGCAGCAACGCCGCGUGCGGGAUGACGGCCUUCGGGUUGUAAACCGCUUUCGCCUGUGACGAAGCGUGAGUGACGGUAAUGGGUAAAGAAGCACCGGCUAACUACGUG
rnacentral:rRNA from 1 species